GCCGGGGUAGCUCAGACUGGCGGAGCGUCGGACUCAUAAUCCGAAGGCCGCGGGUUCAAAUCCCGUCCCCGGCA
rnacentral:tRNA from 2 species